rnacentral:lncRNA from 1 species
AAGAAAGAGCACUUCUUCGGAGGCAACCCAUGUUUGGAGUCAGUUUUAUUUUUAUUUUUUAUUUAUUCUGCAUGUUUAAGUGUUAAUCGAGUAUAGAACGUGAUGCCUGAGCCCCCAUCAUUGCCCCAGUUAUCGGAUGGAAAAGUUUUGGUGAUUGCAGUUUGAGUCUGAUUUCUUAGGAGCGUAUGUCAACUUUGUGCCAUAGGCUUGUCAAA